rnacentral:rRNA from 1 species
UACAGAGGGUGCGAGCGUUGUUCGGAAUUAUUGGGCGUAAAGCGCUGGUAGGCGGCUUGUCAAGUCGCGUGUGAAAGCUCAAGGCUUAACCUUGAAAGUGCGCGCGAAACUGGCGAGCUUGAGUGUCGGAGAGGGUCGCGGAAUUCCCGGUGUAGAGGUGAAAUUCGUAGAUAUCUAAAGGAACACCAAUGGCGAAGGCAGCUUACUGGGUUAUUUCUGACACUGAGAUGCGAAAGCGUGGGGAGCAAACGGA